CCAGGUACGACAUUGCUCACAUUGCUUCCAGUAUGACUUAGCCAGCUCGGGUGCUGGCUUUUUUUU
rnacentral:antisense_RNA from 1 species